AGUUUUGGUCGUAGAGUCGCGACCAACCAAAUCUAAAGAACGCUCAUUAGGA
ncrna:unclassified sequences 6A RNA